ACGGGAGGCAGCAGUGAGGAAUAUUGGUCAAUGGGCGUAAGCCUGAACCAGCCAAGUAGCGUGAGGGAUGACUGCCCUACGGGUUGUAAACCUCUUUUGUUUGGGAAUAAAGUAGACUACGUGUAGUCUUUUGCAUGUACCUUUCGAAUAAGCAUCGGCUAAUUCCGUGCCAGCAGCCGCGGUAAUACGGAAGAUGCGAGCGUUAUCCGGAUUUAUUGGGUUUAAAGGGAGCGUAGGCGGCCUGUUAAGUCUGCGGUCAAAUGUCAGGGCCCAACCUUGGCAUGCCGUGGAUACUGGCGGGCUUGAGUGCACACAAGGAAGGUGGAAUUCGUCGUGUAGCGGUGAAAUGCUUAGAUAUGACGAAGAACUCCGAUUGCGAAGGCGGCCUUCUGGGGUGUUACUGACGCUGGGGCGCGAAAGCACGGGGAGCAAACAGGAUUAGAUACCCUGGUA
rnacentral:rRNA from 1 species